rnacentral:rRNA from 1 species
UGGGGAAUAUUGCGCUAAUGCGCGAAAGCGUGACGCAGCGACGCCGCGUGCGGGAUGAAGGCCCUCGGGUCGUAAACCGCUUUCGCCAGGGACGAAGCGAGAGUGACGGUACCUGGAGAAGAAGUCCCGGCUAACUACGUGCCAGCAGCCGCGGUAACACGUAGGGGACGAGCGUUGUCCGGAUUCAUUGGGCGUAAAGCGCGCGUAGGCGGCCCGGAAAGUCGGAUGUGAAAACCUGGGGCUCAACCCCAGGCGUGCACCCGAUACUCCCGGGCUGGAGGCAGGUAGGGGAGAUCGGAAUUCCUGGUGUAGCGGUGAAAUGCGCAGAUAUCAGGAGGAACACCGGUGGCGAAGGCGGAUCUCUGGGCCUUGCCUGACGCUGAGGCGCGAAAGCUAGGGGAGCGAACAGGAUUAGAUACCCUGGUAGUCCUAGCCGUAAACGUUGGGUGCUAGGUGUGGGCGGAUAUCGACCCCGUCCGUGCCGAAGCUAACGCAUUAAGCA